AUUACUUUUCAGUGAAUACAUAGCUGAUUAGAGGUAGACGCAGAGAACUGAAACAUCUUAGUACCUGCAGGAAGAGAAAGAAAAUUCGAUUCCCUGAGUAGCGGCGAGCGAAACGGGAAGAGCCCAAACCAACAAGCUUGCUUGUUGGGGUUGUAGGACUCCAAUAUGGUAGUCUGUUAGUAUAGUUGAAGGAUUUGGAAAAUUCCGCUAAAGAGGGURAAARCCCCGUAGACGAAAUGUGGAAGACACCUAGGAGG
rnacentral:rRNA from 1 species